GUCUGUAUGAUUGUUAUAUAGAGUCUGGCCUGCCCACUGAUUUAAGUUAAAGGGCCGCGGUAUUUUGACCGUGCGAAGGUAGCAUAAUCAUUAGUCUUUUAAUUGGAGGCUUGUAUGAAUGGUUGGACAAAAAGCAAACUGUCUCAAUUAUAAUAAUUGAAUUUAACUUUUAAGUGAAAAGGCUUAAAUAAACUGGGGGGACGAUAAGACCCUAUAAAGCUUUACAAUUAUUUAAUUAAAUUAUAAAUUGUUAGUAUAACUUAAUUUAAUUGAUAUUUGUUUCGUUGGGGCGACGAGAAUAUAAUUUUAAGUAACUGUUCUUUUAUGGUUAAUUACAGAUUUAUUUGGGUAAAAAUUGAUCCUUUAUUAGAGAUUAAAAGAUUAAGUUACUUUAGGGAUAACAGCGUAAUCUUCUUUGAGAGUUCAUAUCGACAAGAGGGGUUGCGACCUCGAUGUUGAAUUAAAGUAUCCUUGUGGUGUAGCAGUUACAGAGGAGGGUCUGUUCGACCUUUAAUUCUUU
rnacentral:rRNA from 1 species